ensembl:lncRNA
GGGAUGCUGCUCCACAGGGCAUGGAAUUCAGGCCCCUGGAAACCAGGGGCCUGUCUGUGGAGCUCUGUGCCACAGCUCCAGAGUGGCCCCAAAGUCUCCGUACCCACUUCUCUCAGAGGGUGGGGGAGUCACCGGCUCUGCCCUGGGAGGCUUGAUAGCAUGUCAGGGAGGAGACCGAGGGGUCCGGCACUGGAAUUGCCCUCCAGGUGGGAAGCGAUAGGAGUCAGGACCAGGUUCCAGAGCUGACUGGGACUUCUGAGCCUCCCCCCAAGAGACACCCAUGGGGGCUGGGCAAGGGGUAAGGGGCAGCCGGGGGUGGGUGGAGAUGGCAGGAGAGGGGGCCAGGUGUAACCGGGGUCCAGUUGGGCUCUGGGUUGGAAUCCUGGCAUUGCUGUUGCCCAGCAUUGUCCGUCACCCUCACUGUGCCUCAGUUUCCUCUUCCAUAGAAUGGGAGAAUGAUGGGAGUUGGUAAAGGAGAUGAGGAAAUACCUAGCAGACAGCCUGGCACAGGGCACUUGGAGCUAUUGUUAUUUUACGUAUUUUUUUCCUUUUCUUUUUAUGGCUGCACCUGUGGCACAUGGAAGUUCCCAGGCUAGGGGUUGAAUCAGAGCUGCAGCUGCCGGCCUAUACCAUAGCCAUAGCAACACCGGAUCUAGCCACAUCUUUGAUCUAUGCCACAGAUUGUGGCAAAACUACACCCUCAAUCCAAUGAGUGAGGCCAGGGAUCGAACCUGCAUUCUCACAGAGACUAGUUGGGGUCUUAACCCUCUGAGCCACAACAGGAACUCCAGAGCGAUUGUUGUUAUUAUUGCCGUGAUGUAGAUGUUAGGGUCUGACCCAGGCCCAGAUGGGGUCUUGAGGAAUCUUGGAAGGCGGACAGGGUGGGCUAGGCAGAAAGGAAUGGGGUUGCCCAUAAACACCCCACCCCCGGCCCUGCGACACCUGAGGCACCAAGCUUCUGACUCAGGUGGGGAGUCAGCAGAGACUCUCAGCGGGGCUUGGGGUACGACAAGUCAUGCCUGCUGUCCCCUCUGAGACCUCCUUUUUCCUUUCUCUGUGACCUGGGGGCUUUGCCUGUCUGAACCUCAGUUUCCUCCUCUACAGAAUGGGAGCAGUGAUCGCUGCCCUUUUCCGUCUGAGGUUGGCUACGGGCACUAAAUGAGAUAGUAUUUACAAGGUGCUCGGCGUGGUGGGGGAAGGAGUGGCCCCUGUGGAAGAAGCCCAGGGUGCUGCUACUGCUGUUUUUUUCCUUUGUCUUUAUCCUCAGGACCUCAGAGGGCCAGGGAGCUGGUCAGUAGACUGUGCACAGCGCAAUGUGGGGUGUGUAAUAAGGUCUCAGGAAAUGCUGGCAUAUUCCUCACUGGGGCCUUUUGAGGAUUCAGAGGAGGCCCUGGGCAGGGGGAUGCAGGUGCUGACUCCCUGGGCACCAGUCCUGGUCAGUUAUGCUGCAUCAGUGCAGGGCUGGGGGCUGCAGUCGGCCUCUGUCUGGGUCAGCCGGUGGGGAGCCGUAUCUGCUGGCCAUGCCGGGGGCUGACAGUGGCCCAGGAUGAGAUUCCAGAGGGCCUGGAGACCCCACGAGCCUAGACCAGUGAUGGGCAUGCCAGAGUGUAGCCUGGAGUUGGCUGCUGGAGGGACAGGGAUAAAGCUUCAGGGUGAAGCUGCAACCCAGUUGGGUUUCUUGGCACAGACAUAGCAAAGGGUGGGUCUGGGGAGGUGUCAGCUUCCUGUGGUUGGAAAGCCCCAGCCCUGCCCUUCUUGGUCCUGGGAGUGCAGAAGCCUCACUGGCGGAGAUGGCAGCCAUGCCAAGCAACCCAUAGGCAGGGGAACCUGUCCGCAGUUGGCCGUGCCAUCAUGCACCCCCACACCUCCUGUCUCGUCCUGGUCCCUAGUCCCCACUCAUCUUCUCUGCCCUGGCUCCCAUCUGCAGGGACAGGUCCAGAGGAGACUUCACCUGUCAGGAACCAGAGGUGGCCAUGGCUCUCUGGUUGUUAAAAGGCUGUGCUUUAGUGUUUCACGUUUUGGGGUAGUGACAAGGGACAGGCUAAUUCAAGGACACUGAACCACUGAUGGGGAAUUGACAGCAACAUAGCAGGGAGCUGAGGGGGGGCUGCUCAAAGUCCAGCUGAUCCGCCCCCUUGCCCCUCCUCUUAUAGAACAGAGGGAGGUUUUUGAGGAAGGAGGGCCAGACGUGAGCCAGGGGGUUCCAGGGUAGACACUGCUGCAGCGUCACAGAGCCCACGAUUCCCUGUGAAUAUGAAGACCCCUGCUCUGUGCCCCAGCAUCCAUGGAGUAGCUAUAGCUGACCCCUGUGCUCAGCCCCAUCAAAAAUUAAAGUUGCAGAGAAAGGAGUUCUCGUCGUAGCUCAGCGGGUUAAGAACCCGAUUAGUAUCCACAAGGAUGCAGGUUUGAUCCCUGGCCUCACUCAGCGGGUUAAGGAUCCAGCUUUGCCGUGAGCUGUGGUGUAGGUCGAAGAUGUGGCUCAGGUCUGGUGUUGCCGUGAUGUAGGCCAGCAGCUACAGCUCCGAUUCCACCCCUAGCCUGGGGGCUUCCAUAUGCCAGGGGCGUGGACCCAAAAAGCAAAAAAAAAAAAAA